rnacentral:rRNA from 1 species
UGAACCUUUACUAUAGCUUGACACUGAACAUUGAGCCUUGAUGUGUAGGAUAGGUGGGAGGCUUUGAAGUGUGGACGCCAGUCUGCAUGGAGCCGACCUUGAAAUACCACCCUUUAAUGUUUGAUGUUCUAACGUUGACCCGUAAUCCGGGUUGCGGACAGUGUCUGGUGGGUAGUUUGACUGGGGCGGUCUCCUCCUAAAGAGUAACGGAGGAGCACGAAGGUUGGCUAAUCCUGGUCGGACAUCAGGAGGUUAGUGCAAUGGCAUAAGCCAGCUUGACUGCGAGCGUGACGGCGCGAGCAGGUGCGAAAGCAGGUCAUAGUGAUCCGGUGGUUCUGAAUGGAAGGGCCAUCGCUCAACGGAUAAAAGGUACUCCGGGGAUAACAGGCUGAUACCGCCCAAGAGUUCAUAUCGACGGCGGUGUUUGGCACCUCGAUGUCGGCUCAUCACAUCCUGGGGCUGAAGUAGGUCCCAAGGGUAUGGCUGUUCGCCAUUUAAAGUGGUACGCGAGCUGGGUUUAGAACGUCGUGAGACAGUUCGGUCCCUAUCUGCCGUGGGCGCUGGAGAACUGAGGGGGGCUGCUCCUAGUACGAGAGGACCGGAGUGGACGCAUCACUGGUGUUCGGGUUGUCAUGCCAAUGGCACUGCCCGGUAGCUAAAUGCGGAAGAGAUAAGUGCUGAAAGCAUCUAAGCACGAAACUUGCCCCGAGAUGAGUUCUCCCUGACUCCUUGAGAGUCCUGAAGGAACGUUGAAGACGACGACGUUGAUAGGCCGGGUGUGUAAGCGCAGCGAUGCGUUGAGCUAACCGGUACUAAUGAACCGU